UACGUAGGUGGCGAGCGUUGUCCGGAAUUACUGGGCGUAAAGCGUGUGUAGGCGGUUGGGUAAGUCUGGUGUGAAAUCUCCCGGCUCAACUGGGAGGGUGCGCCGGAAACUGCCUGGCUAGAGUGCGGAAGAGGAGAGUGGAAUUCCCGGUGUAGUGGUGAAAUGCGUAGAUAUCGGGAGGAACACCAGUGGCGAAGGCGACUAUCUGGGGUGCAACUGACGCUGAGGCGCGAAGGCUAGGGUAGCAAACAGG
rnacentral:rRNA from 1 species